GAAACCCUUACCAAAACCCUAUAACAAAGCUUCCCCCACUUCACUCCCUCUCUCUCUCUCUCUCUCUCUCUCUCUUCCGUUUUGAAUUUCUCCCUCAAAUUUUUGUUUGGUUCCCGGGAAAAAAGAAAAAAAAAAAGCGAGGGAAAACAGAGAGAAACGAGUUUUCAAUUUAACGGUCCUGAGAUUUUGAAGCGACAUUUUCAAAUCUCAGGGACCAGGGUUCUAGGGUUCCGGACGAGAUGUCGUGGGAGGACGAGAUAGUUUUGCGCGACGUCACCAACGCCGGUGUUGUCGUCAGCGACCGCAUUGGCCGAGAAGCUGCGUCCCAGCUUGACCUUGAAGAAGCCCUAGAAGCUUCGAGAUAUGCUAGUCAUCCCUAUUCUAGCCAUCCCAGGGAGUGGCCUCCAUUGGUUGAGGUGUUGGAUACUUGGGAGCUGCCUCCAGUACUCAUUGAAAGGUAUAAUGCAGCUGGUGGGGAAGGAACUGCAUUAUGUGGAGUGUUUCCGGAAAUACGCCGUGCGUGGGCAUCAGUAGAUAAUUCAUUGUUUCUUUGGCGUUUUGACAAGUGGGAUGGACAAUGUCCUGAAUAUAGUGGGGAGGAGCAAGCUAUUUGUGCUGUUGGCCUUGCCAAGUCAAAACCUGGUGUUUUUAUUGAAGCUAUUCAGUAUCUAUUAGUUUUAGCAACGCCAGUUGAGUUGAUUCUUGUAGGAGUAUGCUGCUCCAGAGCUGGUGAUGGAACAGAUCCAUAUGCAGAGGUCUCACUACAGCCAUUGCCAGAGUAUACUGUACCAUCUGAUGGGGUCACCAUGACUUGUAUUACUUGUACCAACACAGGUCGCAUUUUCCUGGCUGGUCGUGAUGGCCACAUCUAUGAGCUUCAUUACACAACUGGUUCAGGCUGGCAAAAGCGAUGCAGGAAAAUAUGCCUGACUGCUGGAUUUGGAAGUGUCAUAUCAAGAUGGGUAGUGCCAAAUGUGUUUAAGUUUGGAGCUAUUGACCCCAUUGUCGAAAUGGUUUUUGAUAAUGAAAGAAACAUCUUAUAUGCGCGGACUGAAGAUAUGAAACUUCAGGUGUUUAUUUUAGGGCCAAAUGGUGACGGACCACUGAAGAAAGUGGCAGAAGAAAGGAAUGUGAUCAAUCAAAGAGAAACUCAUUAUGGGGGUAGGCAAUCAACUGGACCCAGAGGCCAGAGUCGUCCAGUGAAGCCAUCAAUAGUUUGUAUAUCACCUUUAUCCACAUUGGAAUCAAAGUGGCUACACCUUGUUGCUGUUUUAUCGGAUGGGAGAAGGAUGUACCUUACCACUUCUCCUUCUAGUGGAAAUUUGGGUGGAUUUAACACGAAUCAUCAUAAACCCACUUGUCUAAAGGUUGUGGCAACUAGACCUUCUCCACCUCUGGGGGUCAGCGGUGGGCUUGUCUUUGGAGCCAUGUCUCUUGGUGGUAGACCUCAGAAUGAGGAUCUUUCACUGAAGGUUGAGACAGCAUAUUAUUCUGCUGGAACUCUUGUCCUCUCCGAUUCAUCUCCACCAACCAUGUCCUCACUUCUCUUUGUGAGCCGGGAUUCAAGUUCUCAGUCAUCUUCUGCAAGCACCUUGGGCACAAGUUCAAGGAGUUCUCGAGCAUUACGGGAGUCUGUUUCUUCCUUGCCACUUGAAGGCCGAAUGUUAUUUGUGGCAGAUGUUUUACCCCUGCCUGAUACUGCAACAACUGUGCAGUCUCUUUAUUCAGAAAUUGAAUUCGGUGGGUUUGAAAGCUCAGAGGAGUCCUGUGAAAAGGCGUCUGGAAAACUUUGGGCGAGGGGGGACCUAUCAACCCAACAUAUACUGCCAAGAAGAAGAAUUGUUGUCUUUAGUACCAUGGGGAUGAUGGAAAUUGUGUUCAACCGGCCGGUGGACAUUUUAAGGAGGUUGUUUGAGUCGAAUUCACCAAGAUCAAUCUUAGACGAUUUCUUUAAUCGUUUUGGAGCGGGUGAGGCAGCUGCUAUGUGUUUGAUGCUAGCAGCAAGGAUAGUACAUUCUGAAAGUCUUAUAAGUAAUACUAUUGCUGAGAAGGCAGCUGAAGCUUUUGAGGACCCAAGAUUUGUUGGAAUGCCGCAACUUGAGGGUAGCGGUGCAUUGUCAAACACUAGGACAGCUACUGGAGGAUUCAGCAUGGGGCAGGUCGUUCAGGAGGCUGAGCCAGUGUUUUCAGGUGCACAUGAAGGGCUUUGUUUGUGUUCUUCAAGGCUGCUUUUUCCUCUGUGGGAACUUCCUGUCAUGGUUGUAAAAGGCAAUUUAGUUUCUACCAAUGCUUUCUCUGAAAAUGGGCUAGUUGUUUGCAGACUGUCUGUUGGGGCUAUGCAAGUCCUAGAAAACAAGCUUCGUUCUUUAGAGAAGUUUCUAAGGUCUAGAAGGAACCAGAGAAGGGGCCUUUAUGGUUGUGUUGCUGGUUUAGGAGACUUGACUGGUUCUAUACUCUAUGCAAGUGGCUCAGAAUUAGGUGCUGGUGAUCGGAGUAUGGUGAGAAACUUGUUUGGUGCUUACUCACGGAACACUGAGUCUAAUGAUGGUGCCACGUCAAAUAAAAGGCAGAGAUUGCCAUAUAGUCCUGCAGAACUGGCUGCCAUGGAGGUGAGGGCGAUGGAAUGUGUUAGGCAGUUGCUUCUUAGAUCAAGUGAAGCCCUGUUUCUGCUUCAACUUCUUUCUCAGCAUCAUAUAACUCGUUUAGUUCAGGAAUUUGAUGCUAAUCAACGACAAGUACUGGUUCAAUUGACAUUCCAUCAGCUUGUUUGUUCUGAAGAGGGUGACCGCCUUGCCACAAGGCUUAUAUCUGCCCUGAUGGAGUAUUAUACUGGCCCUGAUGGCAGGGGGACUGUAGAUGACAUUAGUGGGAGAUUACGGGAGGGUUGCCCAAGCUAUUACAAGGAGUCUGAUUACAAGUUUUUUCUAGCUGUUGAGUGCCUGGAGAGAGCUGCUGUAAGUCCGGACACGAGGGAAAAGGAGAAUCUUGCUAGAGAGGCCUUCAAUUUUGUAAGUAAAGUUCCAGAGUCUGCUGAUUUACGGACGGUCUGCAAAAGAUUUGAGGAUUUAAGGUUUUAUGAAGCUGUUGUUUGGUUACCUUUGCAAAAGGCACAGGCUCUUGACCCAGCAGGUGAUGCUUUUAAUGACCAAAUUGAUGCAGCAAUACGAGAGCAUGCAAUUGCUCAACGUGGACAGUGUUAUGAGAUAAUCAUCAGUGCUUUGCGAUCACUGAAAGGUGAGGCUUCACAGAAGGAGUUUGGUUCUCCUGUACGUCCUGCUGCUCCAAAAUCUGUCCUUGAUCAGGCUUCUCGGAAGAAGUAUAUAAGCCAGAUUGUUCAGCUUGGUGUCCAAUCACCAGAUAGGUUGUUUCAUGAGUACUUAUACCGUGCUAUGAUUGAUUUGGGUCUUGAAGAUGAGUUAUUGGAGUAUGGAGGUCCCGACUUAGUUCCAUUUCUACAAAGUGCUGGUCGCGAACCAAUACAAGAGGUUCGGGCUGUUUCUUCAUUAACAUCAGUGACUUCUCCUGUGGGUCAAUCAGGAGCAUCUAUCCCAUCCAAUCAAGUCAAGUAUUUUGAUCUUUUGGCACGGUACUAUGUCUUGAAGCGGCAGCACUUGCUUGCAGCUCACGUAUUGCUGAGACUGGCUGAGAGGCGCUCAAUUGAUGCUGGAGAUGUUCCUUCUCUAGAACAAAGGUCUCACUACCUAAGCAAUGCUGUUAUACAGGCCAAGAAUGCUAGUAGCAGUGAUGGCAUUGUAGGUUCUACGAGGAGUGCUUUUGACAAUGGACUGUUAGAUUUAUUGGAAGGAAAGCUUGCCGUUCUUCGAUUUCAGAUUAAGAUUAAAGAAGAACUGGAGGCUAUAGCUUCCAGAUUGGAAGCUUCUUCUGUUUCAUCUGAGUCUGUCCAAAAUGGAACAUUACCUAAUGGCAGAUUGACUGGUGACUCAAAUCUUGCAAAUAUUGCAAGAGAAAAAGCCAAAGAGCUAUCAUUAGACUUAAAAAGUAUAACUCAGCUAUAUAAUGAAUAUGCUGUUCCAUUUGAGCUAUGGGAGAUUUGUCUGGGGAUGCUGUACUUUGCAAACUAUUCUGGUGAUGCUGAUAGUAGCAUCGUAAGAGAAACUUGGGCUAGACUUAUUGAUCAAGCUCUUUCAAGGGGUGGCAUUGCUGAAGCUUGUACAGUACUGAAGAGGGUUGGCUCCCACAUUUAUCCUGGAGAUGGUGCUGGUUUACCUUUAGACACUCUUUGUCUUCACCUGGAGAAGGCUGCACUGGAGAGACUAGAGUCAGGGGUUGAAUCUGUUGGAGAUGAAGAUGUUGCAAGGGCUCUUCUUGCUGCUUGCAAGGGUGCAAUUGAACCUGUAUUGAAUACUUAUGAUCAAUUGUUGUCAAGUGGAGUCAUUUUGCCAUCAAUAAACCUCAGGUUACGCCUUCUUCGAUCAGUUCUGGUGGUACUUCGAGAGUGGGCAAUGUCUGUGUUUGCAAAUAGAAUGGGUACAAGUGCAACGGGAGCUUCUUUAAUUUUAGGUGGUUCAUUCUCACUGGAGCAAAUGACAGUGAUUAAUCAAGGGGUUCGAGACAAGAUUACAAGUUCAGCAAACAGAUACAUGACUGAGGUGCGGAGGUUGGCACUUCCGCAAAGCCAAACCGAGGCUGUUUACCGAGGCUUUCGAGAGCUUGAAGAGUCACUAAUCAGUCCUUUUCCAUUUGACCGUUUCUGAUAAUUCGCUUUCAUGUAUGUGUUGUAUUAAUGCCUGCAAUUCCAUGGAAAAGCAUGAUAACAUUUUAUCUGCGUUAUACUUUGGAAACUGGGUAACUUCUUAGAUCUAAGCUUGGAGAGUUCUCAACUCAGUAGCUGGAGGCAUUUCAAGUUGUGUUAGGCUGUUAGCUACUCAAAACUCUUUAGAUAGUCUCUCAAUAUUUCUAUCAGUUAAUCUCAGGGCUGGAAUGAAAAUUUCAUAUUUAAUAUAAUAUUUUUUUAUUUUUCAUAUAAAUUAAGUUUACUUUGAAAGCAUAGAAGCUUUAGGUGUGCCUUGUAAUAUUUCAUGAAGACGUUUUUUAUUUUAUAGAUGAUAUAGAUAAAUGUUUUUUUGGGAGAAAAAUUUGAACUCGGAUUAUUGUCCCAAAACACUGCGGCUUUGCUACCGACUUAUUCUAUAGAGACAGUAUUUGUUAUUUUUAAGAA